AAACUCUCAAGCUAUGCUUGGUAUUGGAAGAUGUCCUCUGGGACCCUUCCGCAACCUGUCAGUGCGGGACCUACCGGCUUCAAGCGUAGCAAAACUUUCGCUUCGUCGUUUGGUUGGCCUCUGCCUCACAAUCAAUCACUUCAA
rnacentral:misc_RNA from 1 species